CGACCGCUGGCGGCGUGCUUAACACAUGCAAAUCGACCGGAAAGGCCCUGCUUUUGUGGGGUGCUCGAGUGGCGAACGGGUGAGUAACACGUGAGUAACCUGCCCUUGACUUUGGGAUAACUUCAGGAAACUGGGGCUAAUACCGGAUAGGAGCUCCUGCUGCAUGGUGGGGGUUGGAAAGUUUCGGCGGUUGGGGAUGGACUCGCGGCUUAUCAGCUUGUUGGUGGGGUAGUGGCUUACCAAGGCUUUGACGGGUAGCCGGCCUGAGAGGGUGACCGGCCACAUUGGGACUGAGAUACGGCCCAGACUCCUACGGGAGGCAGCAGUGGGGAAUAUUGCACAAUGGGCGGAAGCCUGAUGCAGCAACGCCGCGUGCGGGAUGACGGCCUUCGGGUUGUAAACCGCUUUCGCCUGUGACGAAGCGUGAGUGACGGUAAUGGGUAAAGAAGCACCGGCUAACUACGUG
rnacentral:rRNA from 1 species